GACGAACGCUGGCGGCGCGCCUGACACAUGCAAGUCGAACGGAGUCAAGAGGAGCUUGCUUUUCUUGACUUAGUGGCGAACGGGUGAGUAACGCGUGAGUAACCUGCCCUGGAGUGGGGGACAACAGUUGGAAACGACUGCUAAUACCGCAUAAGCCCACGGAUCCGCAUGGAUCUGCGGGAAAAGGAUUUAUUCGCUUCAGGAUGGACUCGCGUCCAAUUAGCUAGUUGGUGAGGUAACGGCCCACCAAGGCGACGAUUGGUAGCCGGACUGAGAGGUUGAACGGCCACAUUGGGACUGAGACACGGCCCAGACUCCUACGGGAGGCAGCAGUGGGGGAUAUUGCACAAUGGGGGAAACCCUGAUGCAGCGACGCCGCGUGGAGGAAGAAGGUUUUCGGAUUGUAAACUCCUGUCGUUAGGGACGAUAAUGACGGUACCUAACAAGAAAGCACCGGCUAACUACGUG
rnacentral:rRNA from 1 species